GGUUUAAUUCGAAGCAACGCGAAGAACCUUACCAGGUCUUGACAUCCUCUGACAAGUCCGAGAGAUCGGACUUCCCUUCGGGGACAGAGAGACAGGUGGUGCAUGGUUGUCGUCAGCUCGUGUCGUGAGAUGUUGGGUUAAGUCCCGCAACGAGCGCAACCCCUGUGGUUAGUUGCCAUCAUUCAGUUGGGCACUCUAAGCAGACUGCCGUGGAUAACACGGAGGAAGGUGGGGACGACGUCAAAUCAUCAUGCCCCUUAUGACCUGGGCUACACACGUGCUACAAUGGUCUGAACAGAGGGCUGCGAAACCGCGAGGUGAAGCUAAUCCCUUAAAACAGAAUCUCAGUUCGGAUUGCAGGCUGCAACUCGCCUGCAUGAAGUUGGAGUUGCUAGUAAUCGCAGAUCAGAAUGCUGCGGUGAAUGCGUUCCCGGGUCUU
rnacentral:rRNA from 1 species